AAACGACUCUCGGCAACNGAUAUCUCGGCUCUCGCAUCGAUGAAGAACGUAGCGAAAUGCGAUACUUGGUGUGAAUUGCAGAAUCCCGUGAACCAUCGAGUCUUUGAACGCAAGUUGCGCCCGAAGCCUUCGGGCCGAGGGCACGCCUGCCUGGGCGUCACGCA
rnacentral:rRNA from 1 species